rnacentral:misc_RNA from 1 species
CAACCAUCAAGCCUCCGGGCUUGCGAUGGGGCCAUGCGGCUGCCGCAUCCCCCGAAAUUCAGUGGCGGGCUCGCCUUCACUCCGAGCGCAGUAACGCAUCUCGCUCUGGACGUGUAGCGGGCUCCUGCCGUAAAACACCCCAAUUUUAA